UACGGAGGGGGCAAGCGUUAUCCGGAUUCACUGGGUUUAAAGGGUGCGUAGGCGGGCAGGUAAGUCAGCGGUGAAAUCUCCGAGCUUAACUCGGAAACUGCCGUUGAUACUAUUUGUCUUGAAUAUUGUGGAGGUAAGCGGAAUAUGUCAUGUAGCGGUGAAAUGCUUAGAUAUGACAUAGAACACCAAUUGCGAAGGCAGCUUACUACACAAUGAUUGACGCUGAGGCACGAAAGCGUGGGGAGCAAACAGG
rnacentral:rRNA from 1 species